CUUUUCUAGGGCUGCUUCCGCAGCAUAUGGAGGUUCCCAGGCUAGGGGUCGAAUCGGAGCUGUAGCCGCCGGCCUACACCACAGCCACGGCAACGCGGGAUCCUUACUUAACCCACUGAGCGAGGUCAGGGAUCGAACUCGCAACCUCAUGGUUCCUAGUCGGAUUCAUUAACCACUGAGCCAUGAUGGGAACUCCUAAGUCUGGCACUUCCUAAUCAGACUCAAGGUUGAUACCAUCACCCCGCAGAGUCGUUGUAAUAAAAAACCGCUGCGUGUUCUACAAACACUAAUUGUUACUUCACUCAGUGAUUAUCGUCACCCAGCCACUGAAAUGAGUGAGCAAGGAAUCAACUGGAAGUUUCCAUAUGAGCAGAAGGCUACUUGGCUCAAAAGCCAGAAAACCUGGUGGCCCACUUCAGGAAUUCCAUGGACCGAAUUAUUAACCAUAGCAGAGGCCUUGUUGUAAUAAACCCCACGGCAAUGUGGCUAUUGUCACCUAAGGUUUCUCUUACCCCCUCCCGAUCCACAGGUGGGUCUCAGAGAACCAGCGUGGCGGUUUCUCAACCCCUGAGAGAUGAAGUUAUGGGCUACAAGGUGAGAACUGAUUUCAGGCUUAUUCACAUUUCAGCUCCUGGAGGUGAUAUUCAUUCACCUGUUCCCACAAGUGUCCAGGGAUACAGAAGCAAAGCCAUGUUACUUCCCUUGACCCACGGGCAACCCAACUCAGUUCAUUUCCAGUGUUUUCAGACAUUCCAGGCUCAGCCUUCUCUCUUGGGUCUAUCACCACAUGACCUGAUGGUUGGUUUCUCAAGUUGCUUUUAGCUCUAAUGGCUCCUGAAAAUCUUUGGCUAUUUAAUAACUCUAGUGUGGUAUGUCCAGGCAAUUUUUCAAGAUAAGUACUUUUUAAAGUCUCUGCCUAUUUGGAAAAAAACAAACAUUUUAAUAGCUUUUCUGUGCUUGCUUCCAAAGCAUAAUAAUCAGGGUGCAAUUACCACGGUAACCAAUCUCAGAAAAUCCCAGGCUGCUCUCUGUCUCCUCCACUGAAUCUACCAGAGUCGUUCCUACCUCCAUGUGGCAUCUUUAAGGACAGAAUUUAAUACACAUUAGGCCUGGGCCUACUAGAUAACUCUGCUCAUCUACAUUUAUGUUUAUAUUCUACUGAAAAUAUGAUGUGGCAAAAAUACUGACAUAUUUUCUAAAAGUCAUAAACAGUGUUCUUUUUUAAAUGGAUAUUAGAAUUCACAUACCAGAAAAUCUACCUGUUUAAAGUACACGGCUCAGAGAUUUUUAGUGUACUCCCCCUGCUGUGCCACCAUCACCUCUAUCUAGUUCCAGAACAUUCUCAUCAACCCAAAAAAGAUGGUAUAUCCAUCAUCACUCCCUACUGCCAGCCUCUGGCAACCACUAACCUAUUCUCUGUCUCUACAUGUUUGCCUAUUCUGGACAUUUCAUAUGAAGAGACUCAUAUAACACAUGGUCCUUUGUGAUUGGCUUCUUUCACUUAGCAUGACGUUUUCAAGGUUUAUCCACGUUGCAGCCUGUAUCGCUACUCCAUUCCGUCUCAUUGCUGAAUAAUCUUGCAUCGCAUAGACAGACCGUGUUUUCUCUCCCCAUUCAUCUGUUGAGAGACAUUUGGUUGUUCCCACCAUUUCGGCCACCGCGAAUAACUGCUGGGAACAUUAACUUACAAGUCUUCAUGUACACAUGUAUCCUCAGCUCUCUUGGGAAGACACCUGAAGGUGAAAUUGCGGGGUAACAUGGUCAACGCUUAACUUCUUGAGAAACUGCCAAACUGUUUUUCAAAGCUGUUGCACCAUUUUACAUUUUCACCAGCAAGCAGUGCAUGAGAUUUCGAUUCCUUCACAUCUUUGCCAACACUUGCUAUCAUCCGUCUUUUUUUUUUUUUAUUAAAGCCAUACAUAGGGCUAUGGCAUGGCCAUAUGAAGUGGUAUCUCACUGUGGAUUUGAUUUCUAUUUCCCUAAUAGCUACUGAAAACAUCAUUCUUUACUAGCUAACACAAUAACUAGUUUCACUUUUUCACACACUGCAUUCCAUUUUUUGCCAUAAUGUACACAGCUGCCUCUACAGUCUCAGUCUCGUUCUUAUAACCAGUGACCUAGAGAGGAAGCAGGAGACCUGAGUCCAAGACAACAUGUCCCAAAGCUGUGUCUCCGGGAGGUGGAGAACCACUGUCAGAACACAGAUUCCCCCAGUCAUUAAAUGCAUCCCGGUAUGAAAUACUUUCUCUUAGGCAGGUACCAGAUUGGAAGCAGCAGAACCUGGCUAUGGAAAACUGAGCUCACGUUUCCAUAAAUCCUGAAUAAGUCAUGACAUGAACCAUAGCCAAAACUUAUUUCUUUGGAAGUAGCAUCUGGUUGAGGCAUAACGUGUGGUGGAGCUGUCUCAGGGAGACAUGGAACCAGGUGAUCAGAAGCGGGAAUGAGGAGAGAGGAAAAAAUCCCUGAAGAGAACCUGUGCAUUAAAUCAUCAAUCCUUAGCUGGAUCAUGAAGCUCAAGGCCCAGUCAGACUUAUUCCUUCGCCCUCUUCCCACUCCUGUAGGUGUUUCCAGUUGGAUCACUCCAAGUUCUUGAAGCGCACUAUGGCCCUCUUACCUACAGGCCUUUCUUUCUAGCUGAAGUACCACAUCCCUCCUUUGUGUUUGGCAAAAGGCUCCUUAGCCACAGGUUCCAGCUGAGAUAUCUCGGACCUUCUUAGUGACUGGCUGCUAUAGCAAAUUUUCACAAGUAUCACGGCUUAAAAUGAUAUUCGUUUAUUGUCUUACAGUUCUGGAGAUGGCAGAGCUGGUGACCUGAAGGUUCUAGAGGAGAAUCUAUUUCCUUCCUUUUCCAGCCUCUAGAGGCUGCCCCAUUCCUUGGGUCACAGCUCCUUCCUUCAUCUACAAGCUAGAAAUGUAGCAUCUUCAAAAUCAGUCUGUAUGUGUGUGCGUGCAUGUCUGUCUGUCUCUUUCUCACUCUGAUUCUGUCCUCAUAUCUUCUUCUCAAACUGUGACCUUCCUGCUUCCUUCCUAUAAGGAUCCUUGUGAUUACAUUAGACUCACCCACAUAAUCCAGGAUCACCUCCUCUUCACAAGGUCCUUAACUUAAUCACAUCCGCAAAGGCUCUUUUCCCAUAUAAGGUAACACACCCGUGGGUUCUGGGAACAAGGACACGGACCUUGUUGGGGCGGGACAUCAUUCCGUCUACCACAGUCCUCCUGUCUUUAAUGCCACAGCAUUCUGAGCAAGUGCAGAGAUGUCACAAAAGGGUAAGCACCUGCGAGGCCAUGCCUGCUGACUCCGCAUCCAUCCCCAGUGUCUGCUGCAGAGCUGCUGCUUGAUAAAACAUCCCAUGACAACCUGGCUGAGUGGCCAGUUUGGUUUUGUUGGACCAGAAUUCCUCGGGAAAGGGGAGGAGGUCAGCUUAGAUGAUAGUGUAAGAGGCUCUGGAAGGACUGGCUAAGCGGUUUGGAUUUCAUUCUGUACACACAGCGCCCUAGCUAAGGUUUUUACUUGCGGAGCUAGCGUGAUUACAGUUGCGUCUUGGGAGCAGAAGGCCCCUCAGCCCAGUGGGAAGAGGGAAAAACUGAAGGCAGAGUGACCAAGCAGGAGGCCACGGUAAAUGAGGACCCAAACUAGGCAGUGGCAACGAGAAGGAACAGCUGGAGAAAGAUGGAAGCAUUUGGAUGCAUUCCUCUUCAAAUCCUUGCUAGAAUGGAGCAAAUGAGGAGUCAACACAACAGGCUCUGAUAACUUAUUGGAGACAACAGGAGAAAAAAAAAAAAGAGGGGAAAACUGAAGGCAUCUCUGGCCCAGUAAAACUAAGCAGGCAUAAGAAUGGUGACACAGGGAAUUUCCGUCGUGGCGCAGGGGUUAAGGAAUCCGACUAGGAGCCAUGAGGAUGAGGGUUCGAUCCCUGGCCUCACUCAGUGAGUCAAGGAUCUGGCGUUGCCGUGAGCUGUGGUGUAGAUCGCAGAUGCGGCUCGGAUCCCGUGUUGCUUCGGCUGUGGUGGAGGCCAGCGGCUACAGCUCCGAUUAGACCCCUAGCCUGGGAACCUCUAUAUGCUGCGGAAGCGGCCCUAAAAAAAGACAAAAAGCUUAAAAAAAAAAAAAAGGAUGAUGACACUAACCAAAAGCAAGGAGUAUGGGAAAUGAAAUACGGUCAGAGGAAAGGGGGACUGAUUUGUUCUGCUUCUGACACGUAGAAAG
rnacentral:lncRNA from 1 species